rnacentral:rRNA from 1 species
GACGAACGCUGGCGGCGUGCUUAACACAUGCAAGUCGAACGGAAAGGCCCUGCUUUUGUGGGGUGCUCGAGUGGCGAACGGGUGAGUAACACGUGAGUAACCUGCCCUUGACUUUGGGAUAACUUCAGGAAACUGGGGCUAAUACCGGAUAGGAGCUCCUGCUGCAUGGGGGGGGUUGGAAAGUGUCGGCGGUUGGGGAUGGACUCGCGGCUUAUCAGCUUGUUGGUGGGGUAGUGGCUUACCAAGGCUUUGACGGGUAGCCGGCCUGAGAGGGUGACCGGCCACCUUGGGACUGCGAUACGGCCCAGACUCCUACGGGACGCAGCAGUGGGGAAUAUUGCACAAUGGGCGGACGCCUGAUGCAGCAACGCCGCGUGCGGGAUGACGGCUUUCGGGUUGUAAACCGCUUUCGCCUGUGACGAAGAGUGAGUGACGGUAAUGGGUCAAGAAGCACCGGCUAACUACGUG